rnacentral:rRNA from 1 species
AUUGAACGCUGGCGGCAUGCCUUACACAUGCAAGUCGAACGGCAGCGGACCUUCGGGUGCCGGCGAGUGGCGAACGGGUGAGUAAUGCAUCGGAACGUACCUUUCAGUGGGGGAUAACGUAGCGAAAGUUACGCUAAUACCGCAUAUUCUGUGAGCAGGAAAGCAGGGGAUCGCAAGACCUUGCGCUGAUUGAGCGGCCGAUGUCAGAUUAGCUAGUUGGUGGGGGAAAGGCUCACCAAGGCGACGAUCUGUAGCGGGUCUGAGAGGAUGAUCCGCCAAACUGGGACUGAGACCCGGCCCAGACUGCUACGGGAGGCAGGAGUGGGGAAUUUUGGACAAUGGGGGCAACCCUGAGCCAGCCAUGCCGCGUGAGUGAAGAAGGCCUUCGGGUUGUAAAGCUCUUUCGGCCGGGAAGAAAUCGCACAGGCUAAUACCUUGUGUGGAUGACGGUACCGGAAUAAGAAGCACCGGCUAACUACGUGCCAGCAGCCGCCGUAACAC